rnacentral:rRNA from 1 species
GACGAACGCUGGCGGCGUGCCUAAUACAUGCAAGUCGAGCGGACUGAUUAAGAGCUUGCUCUUAUGACGUUAGCGGCGGACGGGUGAGUAACACGUGGGCAACCUGCCCUGUAUAUCGGGAUAACACCGAGAAAUCGGUUCUAAUACCGGGUAAUAUCUGAUAUCACAUGAUGUUAGGAUAAAAGAUGGCUCCGGCUAUCACUACAGGAUGGGCCCGCGGCGCAUUAGCUAGUUGGUAAGGUAAUGGCUUGCCAAGGCGACGAUGCGUAGCAGACCUGAGAGGGUGAUCGGCCACACUGGGACUGAGACACGGCCCAGACUCCUACGGGAGGCAGCAGUAGGGAAUCUUCCGCAAUGGACGAAAGUCUGACGGAGCAACGCCGCGUGAGUGAUGAAGGGUUUCGGCUCGUAAAGCUCUGUUGUUAGGGAAGAAACAGUACCGAACGAACUAGGUCGGUACCUUGACGGUACCUAAACAGAAAGCCACGGCUAACUACGUG